rnacentral:rRNA from 1 species
UAGCCGUAAACGAUACUCGCUAGGUGUCGGCCACGGUGCGACCGUUGUCGGUGCCGUAGGGAAGCCGUGAAGCGAGCCACCUGGGAAGUACGGCCGCAAGGCUGAAACUUAAAGGAAUUGGCGGGGGAGCACAACAACGGGUGGAGCUUGCGGUUUAAUUGGAUUCAACGCCGGAAAUCUUACCGGGACCGACAGCAACAUGAAGGCCAAGCUGAAGACUUCGCCGGAUUAGCUGAGAGGUGGUGCAUGGCGUAGUCGUGU